GAAGAAAAUCGCAAAAAAAGAAAAAAGAAAAAGGUUCGGUUUUGAAAAAAAUGGUAAGAACUAUAGAAAUAAGAUCCACAAGUUUUUAAGUGGUAUUUUGUGGAAGGGUGAGCUACGAACCACUUAAGCAGAACAUAACAACCAUACAAGCACAAAUAAAAGACACAUGACACAGCCUACAACCCGGUAGAGUUUCUGAGUCUGGAAGAAACUGCUACUGUGAAGUCUUAAACACUUGCUCGCCUCUAAUUGAAUCAUGUAAGAUUGCAAUAAAUGCUACACAAUUACUAAAAAGAAAGAUAAGUGCACAUUUCUACAAGACUUCAACGUAUAAAACAGAAAUCACAGAUCAUGAAAAUCUUUUGAAAUGUAACACACACUAAUACGAUUAGCAAUAAAAAUAAUUUAGAGGUGGAUUCGGAGAAGGCUAAAAUUCUCUAUAAGCAUGGAAAAAUCCACUUAGGAAAUAUGGUAAAUACAAACCAAACACAAACAGGUAUACAGAUAUACAGCACAGUGCGAGUUUAACCUCGCACCUGUUUAGCAACAUGGAGAGAAAUUCUUUAUGCUCAAUUACCAUAUCUUAUUAAAAUUAAAAUUAGAAAAGUGUUUGAAGACCCAACUAUAAAAAUUUGAUAUAUAAAUUGUUUUAAUUGAUUUGGGGACAGAAAAGAGAAAGUCGUCUCACUAUCAAAUCAGAUGCUGCAAGCAAAAUCGACCUGGAAAUGAUAUUACAAAAAGUCACGAGGUUGGAGUAUAUAAUUAUAAGCAACAUACCAAUUUUUAAGACUUGCAAAAUCUUCUCGAUGAAAUGGUUCUGAUUCUGUGCAGAACUGAUGAGUUGCCCAAUGGCUGAUGGGGUAACUAUUCUGACUUAGGUUCAAUUCUAAUUAAUAAGUAAACGAUCCAUAGCCUUUGGAUAACGUAAAAUAAAGCCUAACAAAUCUGAAUUUAAUGGACACCAUCGAAAAAAUAAUCAAGCAGAAGUAAAAAAAAGGAAAACAUCGGAAUUAUAAAUAGAAAUUUCCUUAUAAAAUAUUUUUCGAUGAGGUUCGCAGAGUUAAUGAAUAUAUAACUGCAAUAUUGAUGACUGCUAGAGAAGCGGGAUGAGAACAUGACGACAAGUAGUGGAAGAUCCACCUGAAAA